rnacentral:piRNA from 1 species
AAAACCGGCUUCUGGAGAAACUAU